ACCGUCCAGUUGGUAGAGCAUGACACUCUUAAUCUCAGGGUUGUGGGUUUGAGCCUCGCGUUGGGCA